GGCAACCCUGAUCCACCCAUGCCGCGUGUGUGAAGAAGGCCUUAGGGUUGUAAAGCACUUUCAGUAGGGAGGAAGGCCCAGUAGUUAAUACCUGCUGGGAUUGACGUUACCUACAGAAGCAGCACCGGCUAACUCCGUGCCAGCAGCCGCAGUAAUACGGAGGGUGCAAGCGUUAAUCGGAAUUACUGGGCGUAAAGCGCGCGUAGGCGGUUUGUUAAGUGAGAUGUGAAAGCCCAGGGCUCAACCUUGGAACUGCAUCUCAUACUGGCAGGCUAGAGUACGGUAGAGGGGGGUAGAAUUCCA
rnacentral:rRNA from 1 species